rnacentral:lncRNA from 1 species
GUGGACCAGAGAGGCAGGAGGAGCUGGGCUGGACACUAAGGAAGAGGGCCAUAGAGAAGGCACGGGCUAGAGGGACAGGGGCCACAACGAUGCGAAGGGCCCGGAUGUUACCCCGGAAGAGCUGGAGGGUGACGCGGUCUGGCCUCCCUGUUGGGAAGAGCCAGUGCGGUGUGUGGAAGAGCCUGAGACAGAAGCCUGAGAAGACUCUUACCAGAAUGGAGGAGAGGAAGGAAGGCGUUCUAGACCAGGGUGCGGGUGAGAAGUGGGGUCUGGGGGUGCGGGCUGGGGAGGUGAGCGCAGGUGGUGGGGGUCCUCGGGAGACAUUGACAGUCACCUUCCCAUCCAGCCCUGUCCUGCACAAUCUCAAAUCAAGGUAGCAAAUUGAUGGCCCUUGGACUUUUAGGAAUCUCGUCCUCAACAAGCGAUUCUGAGGAUCGCUGCCCUGGGGGCUGUGUAGCCAGCAGGGUCUUCAUGGGAAAGAAACCUUUGCAGGGGCCUGGGCAGCUUCCAGGGCCACCAGUCCUGUCCUGGCCUCGCUGUAGACGUCAUGCCCAGCGGCCACUCACAGGAAGUGACCUCAUCAGUGUGCCUUUCAAGCCACACAGGAUGGGUCGGCUCUCGACACUGGGCUGGUCGCUCUGGUUUACACCAAAUCCAACCACUCGUGGCCUGCAGAUCCUCAGUAUAAAUCGCUGGAAAAGCCUGACCUUGACAACCUCAUUCCUCAUUCCUUUCUUGUUACAGACAAGAGGCCUUUGGGUUGCAAUCUGAAGGUGGACCAGGCAGUGGAUUGUGAAGGCGAUUGGGCAAAGAGCCAUGAAGACCUGUUGUUGCUGCCCUUUGAGCCCUGAGAUGAUCUCCUCCCUUCCUGGAUAGGUUGGGGAGCCCCACAUGAGACUGGAAACAGGGUAAGCAAAUGAGGGAGAGCAGAGGUCCUUGUGAAAAAUGAGGAUAGGAGAUUGAGGACAGUGGAGAUGAGGACAGUAGAGGUGGUAUUUCCCCAGAAAGUGAUGGUG